rnacentral:lncRNA from 1 species
CCCAAAGGUAGCUGGGACCUCCCUCAAACUGAAGAUCGAAUUUGAUGAAUCCACGUUGGACUGGAUGACUCCAUCUCUGCUGCAGGCAGAGAUGCUGGAAGAGAGAGAAAGAAGACCCUCCAGGGGGAUUUAGUGAGGAGGAGCUAUAAACACGUAGACGUAGUCCACCUUCUUGGACCGAGAAGAUGAUGGGGCGGGUG